GUUGCGAACGGGUGAGUAACGCGUAGGUAACCUGCCUGGUAGCGGGGGAUAACAUUCGGAAACGGAUGCUAAAACCGCAUAGGUCUUCGAACCGCAUGGUUUGAAGAGGAAAAGAGGCGCAAGCUUCUGCUGAUGGAUGGACCCGCGGUGCAUUAGCUAGUUGGUGAGGUAACGGCUCACCAAGGCCGUGAUGCAUAGCCGACCUGAGAGGGUGAUCGGCCACAUUGGGACUGAGACACGGCCCAAACUCC
rnacentral:rRNA from 1 species